AGACGUCUACAUUAGAUACCCCGGUAGUCCCAGCCGUAAACUAUGCGCGUUAGGUGUAUCGGUGACCACGAGUCACCGAGGUGCCGAAGAGAAACCGUGAAACGUGCCGCCUGGGAAGUACGGUCGCAAGGCUGAAACUUAAAGGAAUUGGCGGGGAGCACCACAACGGGUGGAGCCUGCGGUUUAAUUGGACUCAACGCCGGGAAGCUCACCGGAUAAGACAGCGGAAUGAUUGCCGGGCUGAAGACUCUGCAUGACUAGCUG
rnacentral:rRNA from 1 species